UGUGUGUGACGCCCAGGCAGACGUGCCCUCAACCUAAAUGGCCUCGGGCGCAACUUGCGUUCAAAGACUCGAUGGUUCACGGGAUUCUGCAAUUCACACCAAGUAUCGCAUUUCGCUACGUUCUUCAUCGAUGCAAGAGCCGAGAUAUCCGUUGCCGAGAGUCGUUU
rnacentral:rRNA from 1 species